UUGAAUUUUUCCCCCACUGGGUGUUAGAUUCUUAGUUUUCCUCUAGAUGGCGGAGUAGUAUUCUAAAUGUAAAAGAUGUCCUUUGUGAUAAACAUUUUAAACAUUUAUGUUGUAUUUGCCAGCCUGGUUGAAAAAUAUUUUUCCCCUUUUCUGCAGUUAAAACAGAGUACAUUCAUGUGGUAUAUUUUGAAAUUGGCAUAUACAAUGAAAUAAGGAACAAGACUGCUUUCUCUCUAAUCACUUGCCUUAUUAGUUGGUCAUUGACUGUGAAAAAAGAAAGCCUUCCAGUUUUAUGAGAUAGAACUUAAAUGGUCCUUUGGAGAUUGUGAACUUCACAUCCUUAGAGGAAAUGUCAGGAAAAUUGAAGUCCUCAUGGUUUGGCUGAAUAUUCUUCCUGGAACUUUUUGAAACAAGAACUCAGUGUGCAACAGUUAAAUUGGAUAACUUUUUCACAGCGCGUAUCCCAAAACCCUGGGACCCUAGGUUACAUGCCAUUUCCACAUCUCCUCUUUUCCCACUACUUUGUUAUUUACUGAUUGGGUAGAGAAAAUGAGACUGUUUAUUAAAAUUCACACAUACAUAGAGACUUUAUUUAAACAUAGGUGUGUGUAAUUUUCAAUCAAAAUGGUGUCUAGUGUUUUGCUUUGUUCCCAGUACAAUAAAUUAUGUAUAUUUAAUAAUUUUAAAAAAUAAAACCAAUGAUGGAUACUCUUAAGGUUUAGGUUAAGAUUCCAAAUGCUACUAAUCAAGGUUUGAAACAGACAGUUCCUUUAAAGGGAUAAACAGGCAACUCAUGUAAAACAUACGCUAACUGGAGUAACAUAGGCUCUGACAAUUAACUAAAUAAAGAAAAUGGCAUCAUGGAGGGUAGAUGUUCAGAAUCCAGAAGCAAAUUUGGAGAAAUAUUAUUGUGAUAUAUAAGAAUGCAGAAAAAAAAUUCAGGAAAUGCAAAAAUGAUCUGUAAAAUGGUAAAUGUUUUAAAGAAAUUAUACCAUAUGCAUGGAACAUUUUAAUGACUUGUAGAUAUCUCCUCAUAUGCAAGGUAUCAUUCUGGUUGCUAUUUGCUAAGUGGCAAGAGAUAGCACCCUCUCAGUGGAAGAGUAGGGAAAGGGGAGUCACUGUAUUCUCACUUCUCAUGUACACCAGCUAACUAAUUUUGGAGCAACUGACAAAAUAUUAUCAAGCUGCAAUGUUAAAGAAAAAAGAGAUCCCAUUUGUCAAUUUUGUCUUUUGUUGCCAUUGCUUUUGGUGUUUUAGACAUGAAGUCCUUGCCCAUGCCUAUGUCCUGAAUGGUAUUGCCUAGGUUUUCUUCUAGGGUUUUUAUGGUUUUAGGUCUGACGUUUAAGUCUUUAAUCCAUCUUGAAUUGAUUUUUGUAUAAGGUGUAAAGAGCUUCUGUACAGCAAAAGAAACUACCAUCAGAAUGAACAGGCAACCUACAAAAUGGGAGAAAAUUUUUGCAACCUACUCAUCUGACAAAGGGCU
rnacentral:lncRNA from 1 species